AAAGACCAAAAGUCUGAACUCUCUAUGAAGAUCAAGGAGUUGCAGGUGAGUUCCAGCAAGCUGUUUACGACAAAACGGAUAUUGAUCUAGUGCGUUCUGAAUGGACAAAUUGUGUAUCAAGUUAUAUAAAGUAGGUAUGCUUUUGAUUAAAACUUUGUGAAUAUUUAGGCUUGGUGAUUGGAAUUGUUCAAUGUAUAGUAUUUUGAAGUAGAUGAUGAAUUCUUGUGUAUUUUGAAAUACUUUACAUACUUGUAGAAGAUGAUU